UAAUGAGAGAACUCGAGGUUCUCUUAUUAUUGCUAUAAUCUGCAUUUUGGUUGCUUCAGGCCUUGUUGGACUUGCAAUCUAUCUUAAGAAGAGGAGAAACGGACACUCACAUACAGAUUCAGCUGAAAGAAAGCAAGAUGUCAUCCAGUAUACAGAGAUAACUCACAUUAAACCAGCAGAAAACCAGGAGGAGCGAAGAGGUAUACCAGAACUGGAUCUGCUUAGAGACAACCCUAACCUCAACAUUAGUUUAUUAUACACUCCAGUAACAUCACAUGGCUGCCAGCGAGGAUGUUGACACAGCAUGAAGGAGAGAGAGAACAGCAAGUUACUGAGAGGGUAACAUGAUAAUUCACAUCCAAGAGAAGGUGUUACCUCUUACAGUGGAUGUUGAGACAAAAUUAUAGUAAAUAUUCAUCUGGAAAACUUAAUGGAGGCACAGUUGUUACUGGAGGAAAUUCCCAUUUAACGAUUGUGCUGUUAUCAUUUCAAACUUCCUUUGUUGGUCAUUCUCACAGUCUCUUGUUGAUUUGGGGGCUUGAUGAGAUUCACUGAUGCAGACAAAUUCAAUAACUAUGCCUAGGGUUAUUAGUAGGAUGAUCCCUCUUUUCAAGUGCCCAUUGUCCAAAUGUAUAGGUUAUUAAAACAAAUGGAACCUCUUUUAAUACAAUUAAUUAGUGUACUUACUAUACUACUGCUGUGCCAAAGCUUCUUUUCAGUAUUGUCUGUUCUGUUGUUUAAAUGUAGGUGCCACCCCUGUAUAUUUUUUUAUAACUGGUCAUUAUUUAGCUUGCCAGUGGAUAGUAGCUGUGAACAUAAAAAGUAGAUGUUUGGUGAGAAAAAGCCACCUACUCCUCAGCACAAUGGCUAUUAGUGUAAUGGCUUUCGUUGGUGGAAGGACCAAAAUGCAGCGUGGUACGUAUCCAUAAUAUCAUUUAAUCGAGAAUGAAUACAAAAUACAAAAGAACAAGAGAAUAAAUGAAAAUCGAACUGGUACCGAUUGGUACUAACACAUGAAACAAUCACCCACAAAACACAAUAGAAAACAGGCUACCUAAAUAUGGCUCCCAAUCAGAGACAACGACUGACACCUGCCUCUGGUUGAGAACCAUACUAGGCCAAACACAUAGAAAUAUAACAUACAGAACAAAACAUAGAAUGCCCACCCCAACUCACGCCCUGACCAAACUAAAAUAAAGACAUAAAAACGGAACUAAGGUCAGAACGUGACAAUUAGGCUACGUUGGAAACCACCAAAUUCUGUUGAAACAUUUCUGAGUGGUAGAUCUUGAUUUGCCUUUUGACUCAGAAAGUGAUCUUUGGUGACAUUUUACUCUUAUUGCUUUUCACAAAAUGCAGACGUGAUUAAGUGUAGUUCAGAUCUUGCUUUGACAAUAACUGUGUUCAUGCAGUUUGAAUGUACGUUUCAAUGUUUUGUGUGGACCCCAGGAAGAGUUUUGUGCUCUGAGCCAGUGUACACCAAUUUGUACUCUGAGUCAGUGUACUGUAUAUUGUAAGUGUAACUUAAAUCAUGUGUCAGUAAAAUGUUCUCUAACCGUUCUAUGCUUUUACAUUUGGACUGUGGUCAUGCAUUAUUGUGCCAAUUUAUGUUUUAUAUAAAAACAUGUAUUGUAAAUUAUUCCAUGCCAAAUAUAAUUUUAAUCACAUUUGGUCAGAAAACAUGAGUGCCUCAUUUAUCAUUCUGUGUAUUUAUGUGAUGUGUUUUUCUACAAUUUUCAGAUUGUGCAAUACAUUUUAACUUCCUGAUUCCUGAUCUUUAGCAUUAUGGUCAGUGUGAAGAACUGUCUUUGGCUCCUCCUAAAACAGAUGUUUCUGCAGCUCACACUGACAACCCCUCCUUCGGUGCACAGUUGUCAGGGUGUUGAACUUUUUCACCAGAAACCAGCAUAUAUGUAUAACUAAUUAAGUGUAUAAAAAAAAUACUUUCCCACAAUCUCUUUCACCUGCUGAGUUUCAGACUGAGCUGAAUGCUGGGCUUCACAGAGUAGAUAGCUUAGAUAUCUCAGUAUCAACACACUUGUCACAAAGUAGAGUAUAUAUUAUAUACGUAAGCUACACCAUUUAGAGUCUGUUUUUUCCAGUUAAGACCCCAAAAACGGCAGUCUUGUUUUGCUCAUGCUGCAACACUUGUCAUGAAACUAACUACAACAUUUUCACCCAUCUCACUUGUCUGCCCAUGAUCUAUUUAAUAAAGCACAUGACCUGUUCCUCAA